rnacentral:piRNA from 1 species
UGCAGCUCAACAACCAGCGCACCAAGGGC